rnacentral:tRNA from 1 species
GCGGGCAAGUGAACCAGGUCACGCCGGCCUCAUAAGCCGGAGAGCGGGGUGCAACUCCCCGGCGCCGCU